AGACCUGCUCACAGCACAGCGCCUGUGGUUUGACCUAAUCAACCGACGGUUUGUCCCAGAGACAUGUAGUGUGUGUUUAGUGUGCUUAGACCCUGCUCAUGUGAAAUAGGUGAUUAAAAAGUAUACAUUUCAUUCACUGCUGCUAACUAGGAAUUGUGUGUGUGUGUGUGUGUGUGUGUGUGUGUGUGUGUGUGUGUGUGUGUGUGUGUGUGUGUGUGUGUGUGUGUGUGUGUGUGUGUGUGUGUGUGUGUGUGUGUGUGUGUGUGUGUACAUAGAUAAAUCUAUAUAUGUAUAUAUAUAUAUAUAUAUGAUCAACUAAAAACACUUCCCCCUCCACACGUGGAGGCGUGGAGCGUUUUGAUUAACGCGAGCGGGGUGGAAGUGGUAAUGAACUGUGAAGGUGCUGCUAUCUUCCAUUUGGAGACGAGGCAUCAGCGCCAAUCGCCACCCACCCCCCCGUCACCUCCAUCCCCCUCCCCAUCACCUCCUCUCGCUCCUCCUCCCCCUCCUCCACCACCUCCUCCCCCUCCUCACAGCCUUCCUCCUCCACCACCUCCAUCGGCAUGUGUGUCCUGCUCUUCGGCCCAUACGUCCUUACUCCCCUUCUCCAGCGAACAGUUCACCCACUCUGGGUCAAUAACACAUGUCUUAACUGAAGUAAGCCCCGCUCGUGUUUGUAGGAGAAUAUGACAACGAUAGAUGGAUGGAUAUGUGGAUACAUAUAGAUACAUGGAUAUAUAAAGGGGUGACUACAUAGGUAGAUGGCUUCAUAUAUGCAUGAAUACAAAGAUGGAUAGAUACAUAAGUCCAGAGAUACAUGGAUACAUAGAUGGAUGUAUACAUAGGUCCAUGGAUAAGUCCAUGGAUCCAUGGAUACAUGGAUAGGUACAUGGAUACAUAGGGAAAUGGAUACAUAGAUCCGUGGAAACAUUGACAGAUGGAUUGAAGGUAAGACAUAUUGCCUGACAGACAGAUGUAGCUCUUGAUAUCCAGUAAAACAGUGGGAUAGAUAUACAAGUGGAAACGCGCUAGCGAGUGAUCUAAAGGAGCCGGUACCGUGCGUGUGUGUGUGUGUGUGUGUGUGAGUGUUGCGUCUCCUCAUUAAUUCCUCCCUAUUAAUGGCGUUUACAGAGAUACAGCGUUGUUUGCAGCCAAACAUCUCUCGCCUCAAACAUGUUGUUGUUGUUGUUUUUGUUGUCGCGCCGUUGUUCUACCUCGGGAUGAGCGUGAAAUCACAUCUCCAUCUAUCACGCCGGGAAUCUGCAAUAACAAGCCGCCUGGCUGCCGUGGCGACGGGGCGUGUGACACGUGAGGGAGCGUAUCCGUCUUGUGUCGCGUUUAAUACCGCCGCCUUAUCGGAAUCCACUGACGAGCUCAAGCCGGCCAGGGCUGCAAUUACUUCCGCUGUAAAAUGCGUGUGGGUCUGUGCGUGUGUGGCAGUUUUUUUUGGGAGCAUUUACGACUUACUGACGACGAAGCGGCCCCCUUUUUUUUGCAUACGCACAAGCAACCGCACCCACACAACGUGCACAUGAACACACAACGACACAUGCACUCGAAUACACAAACGCACGCACACAGUAGCGCACAAACAAUGCAAACACAGCAUCGCACGAACACAACCCCACACAACCACAGCUGCAGAUUCAUCUUCUUCGAAACUAGUGAAGUAGAAAUAACACAAAAGCCACAAUCCGCUUAUUGCUCAUGGUGACCACGACACACACACACACUGACUAAUAGUCUCUCUCUCUCUCUCGCUCUCUCUCUCUCUCUCUCGCUCUCUCUCUCUCUCUCUCUCGCUCUCUCGUUCCUCUCUUUUCUCUCCCUCUCUCGUUUCUCUCUUUUCUCUCCCUCUCUUUUCGCUCUCUUUCUCGCGCACACUAACACACACACACACACACUGACUCAGACACUGCACACACGCCCACACACACUGUCAGACUUGUGUGCUGCUGGUGCGUGUGGCCGCUGGCUGCUGUCCCCUCUAAGCAGUGGAGGUUUCGGAGUGACAGGCCGGAGAUGACAGCUCGGCCAGCGCUGCUGGGCAGGUCCGGGGGGCCAGCACUCCUCCUUCAUCUCUCUCUCACUCUGGUUUCCGGCUCCUCUCCUCUCUUUUUCUUUCCAUCGCGCCAUUGAUGGCCCUGAGUCGCUCUCUCCAUUAACUCUCUCUUUCACUCGGUCCCUCGGUUUCUUCCUAUUUCUCUUUGCUUUGUGAUUCUUUUGUCAGUCUUUCUCUCGCUUUGUCUCUAUAUCUGUCUAUACCUGUCACUCUCUCCCUCUCACUCCAUCAUUCUAGCUUCACUCUCUGUCUAUCUUUAUCCAUGUAACUGCAAACGUCAGGCCUGCUAAGGUUCCAAUCUCUCUCUCUCUCUCUCUCUCUCUCUCUCUCUCUCUCUCUCUCUCUCUCUCUCUCUCUCUCUCUCUCUCUCUCUCUCUCUCUCUCUCUCUCAGCCGUGUCUAUGUGUUUUGACAGGCUUGUGACGGGACAAGCAGGGCGGGGGAGGCAGGUUCAUUGUUGUUGAUUCACAGCGUGUGCACUUCCUUAGCAUAUAAUUACGAGGUGACUGUUUGUGUCUAUUUGUUUGUGUAAAACUGCAUGAAUUUAAAAGCGGCGAUGAUUUAUUCCGUUAUAUCUGAAACAGGGAGGAAGCUUGCCGAAAAUGUACUGUAUGAAAGGGGAUUGUCUGUGUGCGUGUGUGUGUGUGUGUGUGUGUGUGUGGUAUUGUUGGCGUGUGUUUGUGUGUGUGUGUGUUUGUGUGUAAGUGAUUGAUGAAUCCAAUGAACUGCUAGAAUAUGGCACGGAACAAUAAAAUAGUGACUGUAUUUGUUCUAUCGAUCAUAUUUGAUUGUAUUUUCAUCUCACCAAACUAAUCGUGAAUUUAACAUUCCAAAUUUAAACCGAUUUUGGCCAUGUUUUUGUUCAGAAAUUCCACAUUUAAAAGUCAUUUUUUUUGCCUGUUUAUCACAUUUCAUGCCCAUCAUUUCCCUUCAUGGCAUACUUUUACCUUUGAUCAAGCAACAGAGCUAUCAAUACUCAAACAACUGUCCUCAAACAACUGUCCUGCAUGUUUAAUGAGCCUCACAUUGGCAAAUUAACAUAUAUUUCCAUUUCGGUGUCUAACGUAUGGGCUUCAAAUGCUUUUCAAACCAUGUAUAAUCAGCAGUGUUUUAAACACUUGUUUAUCUUUUAUAAUUCCCCAGAGAGAGUGCAGGCUCAACAGACUCUGGGAUAAUGCCGUGGUUUGAUCAAACUGUAGCGCGUUACAGAUUAUUCACAGCAAUUAAUAGAAACGGCGAAUGCCUUUUCACUUAUCUUGCGGUGACAUGUACUAUAUACAUUUUCUGCCAUUGGCUGACUUGGACUGACCCGAUUCAAAGAAAAACAACCAAGAAAAAUGAACCGAUCCAAGGAAAAAUUACCGGCACAAUUCAUACAUUCAGUGAAAAAAUUACUUAAAAUAGCUACAAUUAGAAUAUAUAAAGAAACCAAGGGAAAGCAUUGAUGGGCUACGCCGUCAAAAAUCAUCCAUAACAUUCUCUUGCACAACAUAACCCUACUGUAUGUCCGAUAUUACAACUAACUUAAUUGUAAUAUAUCCACCCGCUACACAAAAAAUAUAAAAAAAAAGGUGUUGUUAUUAUUUAUAUAUGACUCAAAGAGUGUGACACUGUGUUUAACUUUAAAAGUCAGAGUAAACAGAGUGCAGUGAUGUGACUCACCCCAGUAGCAUCAACAACAGCACCAUGUGAGGACUCCUCGCCUCCCAGCUGUGAACUGCAGCCGUCCUCAUUUCCUGCGUGUUUUGUGUGUGCGGGCUGACACGUCUACCACGUCUUAACACACAGCGUCCGACAACCCACAGCGUCCAGCACAGCGCACUGCUAUGCACCAGGCCAGCUCGCUGUCUGAGGAGGUCACCCAGCGUCACACAGUCCUCCGUGGGGAUCUCCACGGGGGUCACAUUCAGACGCACGCACACACACGUACACGCGCGCACGCCACACACAAGUACACGUUGACAUACGCAUGCACCCGCACACACUAAAACACACACACAUAGAUACGGACAGACAGACAGAGAGACCAACAUGCAAUGCACACAAACGCGCGCACACACGUACACACACAUGCAGACGCAUACACACACGCUCACACAUGCACACACACACACACACACACACACACACACUGCCCAGGACACAUAUGGAAAUCAUUAGAUUCCUAACUCCAAAGGAAAUCAUUUCAUAUCAAAGAAAGCAAAUUACCAGCUCUCCAAAUAUUUAGGGAAUGAGUCGGGGCGCCCUCGCCUUACCACCGUCCCCUCCACUUCCCCGUCUGCCUUCCCCAACGGAAACUCUAAUUUGGGAUUUAAACAAAGCUGGCAAAGGAAAAUAAAUACCUGGGGAGCGGGAGGGGGGGGGGGGGGGGGUGGCCUGCCGUUGACCCCGUGACCCCGGCAGGCCAGACGACGGCGGGGCGGUUAUUAAUCUCUCAAGGACCAGGGGCCCCGUGGAAGCGGAGCUAGUGGGCCCUGGACGGCGCUGGUGCAGCGCUUGUGUGAUGGCUCCCGAUGGAGGGACGGAGAGCAGUAAGCCACCGCCAGCCCCCUGCGCUCAGACGCCGCUGUUAUAAAUAUAGUGCGUAAUAGCACAGAGUGCACUUUCUCUAUUAUUAAAGUCUGUAAUCUGGGCAUUAUAGAGACGAAAGCUUCGAGGGGUUUUUGACGGUGAUUCAGCCGUGAUUAUAUCUGAACACUUACAUCCAUACGGGGCUUUCACUCCUACGAGGGAGCGGGCGCUCACGUUUGCAGGAGGGCCAAGUGAGUGAGAGAGAGAGAUCAAGAGAGUUAAAGAUGAAUGAAGUGGAGCCUUUCUCCCCCGCUCCUAUACUUAAGAGCAGCAUUUGUACUCAUCUUCCCAAAUGAUGUAUUUCUUUUGUUUCGUAUUUUUAUACUGCCGUUGCUUCUGUCACAAAAAAUACCUUCAGCCAUAAAAAUGUAAUCCGCGGACCUAGUUUCCAGUGUAUUCCGAAUGUGUCUUCCACACAUCCUUGUGUCUACCGGAGGACACUGGCUUUUUUAUUUAUGAAUUUAUCAUCCUUGCCCUCCCCCUGCCUGCCUCCCACCAUCUCCUCUCACAUCUCCCAUCGACUGCGUCGUCUUUGUUGCUGUCAGUGACUAAAGGCCUUUGGCGGCAGUUAUCUCGGAGCACAUCAGACAAGAGCUCUGCCUUCUAAUCCUCUAUCUGAUUUCUCUCCCCCUCAGCGCGCCACGUCAAAACAGCUGUGCCUCUGUUUGUGAGCCAUUCAUAAUGGUGCCACGGCAAUUAGGAGCGUUCUCCUAUGCUAACUUUGUCAGGGGGGGGGGGGGGGCUCAGAUCUCCCCUAACAAGCCCGUCUACAAAGGUUCAGGUGCCACUCGUUUGUCAUUGUCCUCAGACAUUAAUUAGCGGCCCAUUAAUCAGCGGUCAGACCGGGACCAGACCCAGCUGAGGGCUCCGGGCCGAGCCAGGUUUAUUACUGUUGACUAUUUAGUCACGUAGCGGUAGACGGUUAAAUCCAAAGCCACACCUGGUGGCUUUGGAUUUCCGCUGAGGGUAAAACACCCUGUCCACUGGGCCAUCCGGUCCCCAAAGUUUCAUUAAUAUUCUUUAUCUCGACGGGUAUUUGUCUAGACACUAAAUAUCCCCCAUGUCGUCAUCCUGCAGUAAUGUGUGUUUUAUUAUCUUGUUAUGUGGUCGUCAAUGAAUGAGUAAUCCUUUUUAUUAUUGUAUCUGCUGUCCCUUAACAUUACACCUAUUGCAAUCUAAACGAGAGCCUCCGACAUAGUUGAAAGGGAGAUAGCAGUCUGCGCAGCGUCCUAGCGCUGACUUUUACAAGGAUAGCAAGGUUAAGUUAGCACUGAGUUAGAUUUAUGCCGCCUUUCAAGCAUCCCUCAUUUCCACUUACUUACCAGAUCCGGCAAUCCCCUGGCCAGUCUAUAAAACCCCACAGCUUACUUUUCUUUAAUUAAAUGCCACUCGUUAUGCUCCCCGGUGCUCCCCGUAUAUCUGCAGCCGGAGCUGGUGCUUUAAAAAGCAAAGAGGCACCUUUUAAUGCAGUGCUCCAUCAGCAGAGCAAGAGGCGCCAUGGGACGGAACGACCAGACAUCCAUCUUAACGAGGUCACACCUUUUGAUUUUUAAUAUAACGGUCAGUGAACAGGGCCCUGUGUCCUCCUUUGAAAUAUUAGAGCUUAUUAACGCUGUGGAAGCGACCCCUACCCGCCCACCCUAAACUACGCCCCCUCCUCCCCGCUCUCUCUCUUCCUGCAUGAGUCCUGUCGGCGGUCGUCCUCAGUGCGGAGGGGUUGGGGUGUCGGGGGGGGGAAGGGGGAGUAGGGGCCGGGGUAUAGGGGUAUAGGAAGUUCCUGAACCAUUCUGAGACCUGUGAACGCUCCCUGCCACGGGCACACCGAAAGCACCCUUUUUAUAGGCCUGCUUUAUGGCGUUCAUUAAGCACACUUAACGGCCGCUGUAAUUCUCCAAGACGGGGUGAAAAGUGAGGCUAUUAGGCCGCUGGACCCAAACGCGGGCUGCCAGAGAGUUUGACCUUUUGUUUUGGACGUGAGAGAUGGUCGCGGUGGCUUGUGCUUUGGCAAGCUUUUUUCGCUACGUCUGUGAUUUGCAUUUUUGCUUCCUUGUGGAGAUUAUGUCGCGUCAGAAGUAAGUGGCUGGAGGGUAGAAACUUAGCUCACCUCAAACUUUUAUUACUCUUUCUUGCAUGGCAACAGAAGAUGUUACAACUUUUCUUCCCAGUCUUUAUUCGCCAGGAGACUUUCACGACAGAAAGGCUCGGACGGGAAAGAACUCAAAGUUGACCAAUCUACUUCGGAUUGUUGCAAAAAAACAGGGUGAGGGCUGGAACAACUCACACUAUGACACCAUCAGUAGGGCUGUCUGUAGAGAGUUAUAUUGUGUUAUGCAGUGAGCAUCUCCUGCGCCGCAUGCUACUCAACGCGCCUUCAUUGUGCUCGCACACUCCAGAAUAAUCUCCAUUGUUAUCAUCAAACGAGACGUCUGAAGGAGUGACGAACAUAACGAACGCCACGAUGCCAAUCAGUCAGAGACGUGCGUUUAUUUAUCUUAUUUGUUAAUCCAUUCUUCACUCCAGACCCCCCCCUCCCCCGCCACCAUCCCAACCCCCCCCCUCCCGCUGUGUUAUUGCGGUGCCGAGGCGAUGAAUCACCCAUGUGACGCGCGGCGUGCGGGAGCGGCAGCGGCACCCAUAACAAAUGACACCGCCGGCACCGUCCCCCAGCGUGAGUUAUCCGCCCGCCGAGACGGAGACGGGAAACAUUCCAUAAGUUAUUGUACCGCGUGCCCUUGGAGCUGCCAGGAUGUUUACACAAAGCCCCCCACCCACCAACCAGCUUCUGCUCAGUCGUUCACCAGCGCCAGGAUCAUCGGUUUUUUGACCGAUUUUAUUUUUCCAUCAUCACAAUUGAAACAGGUGUCCAGAUUUUAGACAGGUUUUUAACGAUUGUUCAAUCAUUCUGUAGCGCGAGUUACGACGACGUAGGUUAAUGCUGAUCUCUCUGGGUCGGUCAUAAUGCAAUCGCUGCUGCUUGGUCGAUAUCAAAAUAUUAGAUAGGAUCACUAUUUACAAACAUUUAAAUUUACAUUUACAUAUCCAGACACAUGGACCGGCCCAUAUACUGAAAGUGUCUGUGGGUUCUGGAAAGGGUCUCUUUCCGUGUGUAUUACAGAUCCACAAUUAGUAUUGAUUACCAGUUGCUUUCUAUUCCUGUUUUUUCUAGUGAUCGAGAUUUAAUAAAGUGUAAUCUAUUUUCCAUCAUGGUCCUUUCAUUCACGUUAUGCUGCACCACAGCGAAACCAACCAUUAGUUCAAUAUUGCUGUUGAUCCUCUCUGUGUGUUUAAAGUUAUUUGGCACCAGCCCAUACAGGUAGAGGCAGUCUUGGGAUUUUACGGCAGACAGUUGUUUUUCGAAGAACCCUCUGCUAUAGCUCUCUUCUGUGCCUCACAGAUGUUCUGUGCAGCUAUUUAUUAAGCUUGUAAACAGGCCACAAAAGCGCAGCAGGCGUAAUGACAAUGACGAGAUGCAGAACAGAAUGCCAUUGUUUCAGGGCCUUGGCUGAUGGCUGCCGUGCUUAACUUGAUUUAGAGCUGGGACUGAGGCACGAGGGAAGAGGGGACUUAAUCUCCUUAAAGACAUGUUUGCAAAUUUCAAUGAAAAUAUGAACAUUUUGGAAUUCAUCAGGGUCGACACAGCCAUCUGCAAUAACAACAAAUUACACAUAAAUACAAUUCAUACUAAUACUAAUGCUAACACAAUUAUAAUCAACACAUAUAAAUUAUACUUAUAGUAAGAAUAACACUCACAGUAAGAAUAAUACUGAUAAUAGUAGCAACUACUACUAUUACUGCUACUUCAACUCUCACAACAACUACUAUGUGUACUGAUUGCUACUACUCAUUCAAAAUGAAUAACCAAUAUAAUAAUAUGAAGUUGGGUAAAAAUUAUUUUGUUUUCAAGAAAAGACUCUCUCCCUGCUGCUACUGUUGAUGCAACACUGACUUUCACAAAGAGCUUGUGUGAUCCUAAAUGGAACAGGUGGUUCAUCCCCUGUUACACUAAUGACAACGUUGGGAGAACAUCUGCCAAGUAAUCAAUUAACAGAGUAGACCCUCCUGGUAAAGGAAACAGACUUUUGAGUAUACAUCAUCUGUCAUGUUUGUUGCAUAGAAAGGUGGCCCGCUUGCUGCACAAGGGAGUUCCAGUCGACUUUAAUCUCAUUUUGCUUUUGAGAAAUGAAGUGAAAAGUUUGGGCUUUUUUUUUUUUUUUUUUAUGGUUGAGCAAGAGUUUCCACAAACACACACGUGCACACACACAAUUACAUCCAUCACUGACAUAUGGCAAGUCUCAAUCCAUAUCUCACACACACAAACACACACACGCACAUGCUGACGCACACACCCACACAAACACACACACACACACACACACACACACACACACACACACACACACACACACACACACACACACACACACACACACACACACACACACACCCUUCCCAAGGGAAUUGAUUAUAAUCAGAGACAUAGACCUUGAACACAGCCACUUUUGUCUGAGCAAACAAAGACUGCCAGUAAUUGGAUUCGCAUUGAGAGAAGUAUUUAAAACUGUCUGGUAACUAACACAAGCUGCCAGCCCCUUUGCGGCAAAUUUCCGUGGAACCGAACCACAAUUUAUCCCCCUCCCCCUCCCCCUCCCCCUCCCCCUCCCCCUCCCCCUCCCCCAGCUUGGGCAGAGCUGCGGCCUGUCAAGGUGAUCCCUUGUAACCCCUGAGGACUUUAUGAGCGCUCUGUCCGUCACAAAGGAGCUUCAAAGGUAUUUCCACCUCCACCUCAAGGGGGUUCCUUCUGUGCGGAGCGCGUAAGCCAUUAACCCCCGCACCGCCUGUCAGCCGCGAGUGAUGAAGCCGGGGCCGCCGGCCGGCCAGACGGCAGGGCUUCACGUCGGCGGCCGAGUGCCACGUGGAGAUGAAACGCCCUCCGCAGGUGUAGCGCGCACGUGACAUGCAAUACAUUGCCGCUGAAAGUGGAUUUGGUUGUUUACAUACAUAUGAGAGAGAGAGAGAGAGAGAGAGAGAGAGAGAGAGAGAGAGAGAGAGAGAGAGAGAGAGAGAGAGAGAGAGAGAGAGAGAGAGAGAGAGAGAGAGAGAGAGAGAGAGAGAGAGAGAGAGAGAGAGAGAGAGAGAGAGAGAGAGAGAGAGAGAGAGGAAAUGAGAGCCAUUUCAUGUCUGGGUUUGAGGUGUACCAGAUAGUGAUCAAGUCCAGAUGGCUCCAGUCGCAGGGCGCAGGGCUCUUGGGGAUUCGAGGGACCUGGUGAUUCAUCUCUCACCCAGACACACAGCGUUCCAUUGCACCGGCUAUGAACUCCGGGUAAAAAAAAAAGAAAGAUGAAUACUCAGGUGUCCCUCCUUUUGAGAUUUGCCUCUGCAGUCUCAAUGGAAGCUUGUCAUGUACUGCUACCUUUCUCCCUUGGCAGCAGAAUACUAACCACCAUAAGCUCAGAGUUUUGGUCACACAUACACACACAAACGCACACACACUCACAGAAACACACACACACACACACACACACACACACACACACACACACACACACACACACACAGUGUUUAAGUGUGUAUGUGAUCUGUUGCUGUUUAAGUGUAUUUGCACAGUUGUGCCAAUCAAGUGAUAAGAAUUACAAAGGUCUAUUAUCACCUUAUGGCCGUUGAGUAACGUUGUGCUUAUAUGAGUGCCUUAUCUGGGUGUGGCUACACAUUACAUCCUUCUGUGUUUACCUUCUCUUGUCAGAUAGUGUUAAUAGCAUUUACCUAAGGGCAGUUUGAGUUCAUUGCUCACACAGUUGUACCUUGCACCUCUCCACCAUUUCCCUGGAUUACACCUCAUCUGUUCUACAUUCUGCACUCACAGAGAGGUAGCUAGGAUUUGCUUUGCAAAUAUAUAUUUUUGUGUUGUGCUAUCUUAUCUCUUAGAUUGAGUGUGUCUUGGUUAAAGAAUGCAUGACUAGGAUGUUUCUAUGCUUAUUUUAUCAACCUUAUUAUAGUUGCCCACAGAGAAUUAUUCAGAUUGACAACAUCAUUUAUGAUAGGCGGUGGUUAUAGACUUAGUCCUUAUCAUUCAUUAAAUGGACUUUCACAGACAGUGCUCUUUGUCCACAAUCACCAUCGAGUCCCUUGAUAGACCGGCUGCACCCUAUGUAGAACAGGAGGAGGAAGUAAUUGGAUAACUAUGUAUGUUCCUAAUAAUUGUGGCUGUAUUGUUAAUUGCAUACAAAUAUUCCUCCUAGAGGAUCUCAAUAGGGCAGGAAAUUAGUCAAAGCUAAUAACGAAUAGGAUUUUUAAGCAUUGCCCAUGUUUCUUCCUUCAUUACGCUAACUUGCUGAAGUUCAAUAAAUGAACAAUGCAUGUUCAUAAGAAUAGGUAUUUCCUCGCACAGAGUUGACUGUAGGAAUGGUAUGUGAUUAAAUAUUAGCUUGAAUAUAAUUAGCAUUCAUUAGAAAACGGUGCUACGGCAGAUAAUUAAAUUCUUAAUGAAAUGCUUUGUUGAAUUAUGUGUCAGGGGGUUGAUUUUCGGCGAAUUUGUAGUCGGUAUGCCCUGAGAACAACGCAAAAAAAGAAAACACAAUAUACAUUAGCAUACCGUGCCACAUGCAUUAAAGGGUUUUCAUAUUGAAUUACUAUAUAAGCUUGACACCUACUAAUUGUACCACGGCCGUAUUGGGCUCAUUUGCGCUUAUAAGGCUGUUUGAGUGUGUUUGCUUCAAACAUUAGCCCACAGUGAGUUGAAUAGGCUCCUCAGUCAGCCAAAGUCAUUAACAAAUACAACACAGACCAUUAGGCUGCAUGAGCUUAAUUGCACAUUAAUUGGAUAAUUAGUCCUGCACUUUGUAUUUCUCCCAUUUUUUUCUCUCCCAUUUGUUCCCCUUAUUUAGUGCUUUCUCUAUUUCCUGUUUGGUUCCUGAGCAGCAGCAGCAGCAGCUUGCUAGCCCCUCUAGAGAGGGGGUGUUAGGGCGAUGGAGUGGGUGGUGCCGGCCUUCCUCUGCCUGGAACCCCCCCCUGCCUAAGGGAUGGUUUGCUCCAUGUGGGUGGUGGGCCAAGGCUGGGCGGAUGGAUGGAGCCCCAGGUUCUCCUCCUCCUGUGCUGUCAUGUUGACCCACCGUACACGCUGUGUUUGUGUCUCAGCCGAGCGCCGGGGAACUGGGAAGAAACCCGGUGUCGGGCAUGCAUAGUUAAAGAGGCCACUACUCGCUGGCGAACAUAAGGUGCAUUAUUUAUGAACUGGAGGGAAGAAGGAAAGAAAAGAAAUGAUUUUAUUCAUUCCUUCCUCGCAUUUAUUCCCCGCCAUUAUUGUCUGAGCGCCAGGAGUGCGGCUCAGCGUUUGCAGAUUGCUGCCAUUAAACCCAGGAUGCCAUCUGAUGGAGUUAUCAAAGUAAAUGUUUGGCACAUUUGAUAGCCUUUCAAAAUAUCGUCCUGUAAUAAAGCCCUUCGGGGAAAGGAAGGAAAAAGCAACUAGCUUAUUUUUCUUUAUGAAAAUAGCUCGGCUAACUCCGGUUUUUCAGAUGUCACGGUGCGUCUGAAAAGCACUCGCAUUUCCCUCCACGCCGUCGACCCCCCCCCCCCCCCCCCCCCCCCAAUGCACCACCAGACAGAUGCUGGGCGCUGGUACCUUUUUGUUUGGUUUGAUGAAACCGAAAAAAAGAUUCCAAAAAGCAAGCGCCCGAACAUACGACGUUGUGUCUGGCAACACUUAAUCAAAUCCCUAUCUUGAAUGUUUUAAGCAAUGAAUCUGCCAAAGUGCACUUUGAAAGAGUCUGGGCUUUUAUGGUCUCACAUGGGUGACAUAUGGGAAGCCAACCACACGAGGAGACGGAUAAAGAGAUGGAUGAUGUCACUGGAACCAAACGCGAUCAUGUGGGUAUGUUAGCGGUCGGCUGUAAACGGUAUAAAUAACAAUUUGGUUCCUGUACCCGCCCGGCAUGCUCAUGGCCUUUGAUCUCCCCCACUGGUUGUUUGAAGCGGGGGCUUCUCUCACCCAUAUCGCGGACGAGCCAAAUGAUGUAUUGCGACGCGAGACAGAUUGUUUCACACUUUGAGUUAAGGUUUCCAUAUGGGGCUGUGUGGUGUGUGUGUGUGUGUGCGUGUGCGUGUGCGUGUGCGUGUGAAUGUGUCCACAUGUCUUCGGGGAGCAGAGUGGGAAAUUGUGGCGGAGCGAAGGCAAGCCAUGCGCCGUGAGUAUGUUUUAUGGUAAUGCUCCUGUCUUAAUGAGGCAUUCCAGCCUGGCCCAGGCUAGAUCUUCUACUGAUUAGACAAGCGAGAAACCCUGCGUCCCGUAGUGCUCCUGAAAGAUUCACAGCCUCCCUCCGUCUCCAAGGCAUUAGUAGCCAUAAAGUGUGAUCAUUCCAAACUGUUAAAGUGCUCCCCGCAAACACGGGCGCUGUUUUGUGUUGUUUAUUUGUUAUUCAUCUCGUCCAAUUACCAUUCUAAAGGGAGAGUAUGUUGCUCUGUGCCGCGCCGGGGGAAUAAGAGAUUAAAAGGCGACAAGGAAACAUCUGUGACUGCGCCGCGGCGGUUUGCUACCACAGCCCGUCGCCUACCGCCAGGCAUCCAAAGAGACGGCAUCCAUAAUACGGAAAGGAAACAAGAAGAGAAACAAAAAAAAUUACAGCAAGAAACACUGGGCUGGAGUGGAGGAAAAGGGUUACCAUAGAAACACAUACCUCACAUGGGUUUAUGG